rnacentral:rRNA from 1 species
UGCCAGCAGCCGCGGUAAUACGUAGGGUGCGAGCGUUAAUCGGAAUUACUGGGCGUAAAGCGGGCGCAGACGGUUAUUUAAGCAGGAUGUGAAAUCCCCGGGCUCAACCUGGGAACUGCGUUCUGAACUGGAUAGCUAGAGUGUGUCAGGGGGGGUAGAAUUCCACGUGUAGCAGUGAAAUGCGUAGAGAUGUGGAGGAAUACCGAUGGCGAAGGCAGCCCCCUGGGAUAACACUGACGUUCAUGCCCGAAAGCGUGGGUAGCAAACAGGAUUAGAUA